rnacentral:rRNA from 1 species
AAUCUUCCGCAAUGGACGAUAGUCUGCCGGAGCAACGCCGCGUGAGUGCUGAAGGCCUUCGGAGCGUAAAACUCUGUUGUUAGGGAAGAACAAGUAUCGUUCGAAUAGGGCGGUACCUUGACGCUACCUAACCAGAAAGCCCCGGCUACCUACUUGCCAGCAGCCGCGGUAACACGUAGGUGGCAAGCGUUGUCCGGAUUUAUUGGGCGUAAAGCGCGCGCAGGCGGUCUUUUAAGUCUGAUGUGAAAUCUUACAGCUUAACUGUAAGCGGUCAUUGGAAACUGGGAGACUUGAGUGCAGAAGAGGAGAGUGGAAUUCCAUGUGUAGCGGUGAAAUGCGUAGAGAUAUGGAGGAAUACCGAUGGCGAAGGCAGCCCCCUGGGAUAAUACUGACGCUCAGACACGAAAGCGUGGGGAGCAAACA